rnacentral:rRNA from 1 species
AACAUCGCUCUUUGAAAAAAUAAUUAUAAAGAGUACUGCCUGCCCAGUGAUAAAAUUUAAACGGCCGCGGUAUUUUGACCGUGCAAAGGUAGCAUAAUCAUUUGUUCUUUAAUUGAGGACUAGUAUGAAAGGCAAAACGAAAGCUUAACUGUCUCCUUUUUAAAAAAUGAAAUUAGUAUUUUUGUGAAGAAACAAAAAUAAUAAAGUAAGACGAGAAGACCCUGUCGAGCUUAAGAAAAUUUUUAUAAUAAUUUUUUAACAAGAUAAACAAAACUUUACUAUAAAAAUAAAAUAAAAAUAUCUUUGGUUGGGGCAACCACGAAGAAAAAAAAACCUUCGUUUUUAAAGAAAAAUUUACAAAUUUAAAAAUUAUUAAAAAUUUUAAAGAUCCAGAAAAUUCUGAUCAAAGGAAAAAGUUACCGCAGGGAUAACAGCGUUAUUCUCUUUAAGAGCUCUUAUUGACAAGAGAGUUUGCGACCUCGAUGUUGGACCGGGGCACCCAAGAGGUGUAGCAGCCUCUAAAGGUAGGUCUGUUCGACCUUUAAAGCCCUACGUGAU